GCGAGAGUGCUGGAAUUGGUAGACAGGCACGUUUGAGGGGCGUGUGUCGUUUGGCGUAUGGGUUCAAGUCCCAUCUCUCGCA
rnacentral:tRNA from 1 species